GUGCUCACGUUGGCAGCACAUAUAUUAAUACUAAAAAUGGAAUGAUACAGAGAAGAUUAGCAUGGCUCCUGCACAAGGAUGACAUGAGGGGAAAAAGGUAUCUUAGAAAUCUUA
ensembl:snRNA U6 U6 spliceosomal RNA